rnacentral:misc_RNA from 1 species
GCAAACUUGGUCAUUUAGAGGAAGUAAAAGUCGUAACAAGGUUUCCGUAGGUGAACCUGCGGAAGGAUCAUUAUUGAACAACCUGGUGUCGGCUGAGCUGGCCUUUUCGGAGGCAUGUGCACGGCCCACCAUUGUUUCAUCCUUCUCUUCCACCUGUGCACUUCAGUGGGCCCACUCCAGCACACAUCUCGUGCGCUGGACUCUGGUGCCUACGUCUUUACUAUCCACACCUUUGAAUGUUCAGAAUGCAUGAAUGGGGCACUCUUGCCCAUAAAACCUUAUACAACUUUCAACAACGGAUCUCUUGGCUCUCGCAUCGAUGAAGAACGCAGC